ACGCUCGACACCUACGGGAGGCAGCAGUGGGGAAUAUUGCACAAUGGGGGAAACCCUGAUGCAGCGACGCCGCGUGAGCGAAGAAGUAUUUCGGUAUGUAAAGCUCUAUCAGCAGGAAAGAAGAAAGACGGUACCUGACUAAGAAGCCCCGGCUAACUACGUGUCAGCAGCCGCGGUAAUCUGAGCGGGCUGGCAAGGC
rnacentral:rRNA from 1 species